CAAAAUUGACAUUAGGGUUUAGUUAUCGAAGAUGGGGGACGACCGUAAGCUCAGAGAUCCAUCGAUAUGCUGGAAGCGAAGUUUAUCUAUAAACAAUAAACAUCCGGUACGGCGUUCAGAUGAAAUAGAGGGAGAAAGAAAGAGAUGGAGAGAGACUAGAGGAGGGAGACGGCGUAAAGGACAAGGAGGAUGACCACCGUCGUUAGAGGGAGGCUUGGCGUUGGCAUCAUCGCCAUCCACACGCUUGGCCUGGUUGUAUUCCGGCGAACCUAGUGUUCUGCCGUGACUUCCGACGGUGGUGGAUAGGGUCAAAUCAACCACCAAAACCGGCGGCGGCUAGGGUUUCGUGGUGUAAGGGGUUGCUGAUGAGAUUCAGAUCCCAUUCAGGCAGAUUUUUGUUAGAGUUUCUUGAGAGGUAUUGUACACCUCUUCUUCGUCGCCAAACGCAUGCUAAAAGCACCAAGAAGAUUGUGCUGAGGUUGCAAGCAUGUGUCCCAACAUCCAAUUAAGAGAUGCAAACAUUUUGACAUUGAUGGAGACAAGAAGGACAAUGGAACUAAACAAAAAAGAUGCAAACAAUUUGGCAUUGGUGCAGAGAUGCAAACAUUUUGACAUUUGUAUACGUCGUAUGUGUUGGAAUUUUCGUGUAACUUUUAGAAAAAUAAUUAUUUGUCAAUUUGUCAAACAAACUGAACGCAGCGGAAAACAUGUACACGAGGUUCGGUUCUAAACCGUUUCCACCAGUGAUCUCUUUACAAUCAAAAUAGGUUAUAAUAAAAUUAAAGAAUCGUGACA